AGCUGAUUUACUGCAGUGGCGGCGGCGGCGGCACCGGCACCUUGCAGUAUCACUGGGGAGACGGCGGCUGUAUAGCGCUUGCCGCCCCACGGAUUAUCCCAGCAGGAUCUACGCACCCCGCAUCCUCCGUAGUUCCGCCCUAUCCUUGUCCUCCUUGGCUGGGGCGCCCACCGGCGGUCUGAUAGGCUACAUCGCGGCAUGAGAUGAAGCUGUGACAGGUUUGAAAACACAAACACAAUGGCAGGAAACAGCCUUGUUCUACCCAUUGUUCUUUGGGGUCGAAAAGCGCCCACACAUUGCAUCUCAGCCGUACUUUUAACAGAUGAUGGGGCCACGAUCGUAACAGGAUGUCACGACGGACAAAUAUGUCUCUGGGAUCUUUCAGUAGAACUGCAAAUUAAUCCUCGAGCACUGUUGUUUGGUCAUACAGCAUCAAUCACUUGUUUGUCUAAAGCUUGUGCUUCCAGUGACAAACAGUAUAUUGUGAGUGCAUCUGAAAGUGGAGAGAUGUGCCUCUGGGAUGUGAGUGAUGGCAGAUGUAUUGAAUUUACAAAAUUAGCUUGCACACAUACUGGCAUACAGUUCUACCAGUUCUCUGUUGGGAAUCAGCGAGAAGGAAGGCUUUUAUGCCACGGACAUUACCCUGAAAUCCUUGUUGUGGAUGCUACCAGCCUUGAAGUAUUAUACUCCUUAGUAUCAAAGAUAUCACCAGACUGGAUUAGCUCCAUGAGUAUUAUUCGAUCCCACCGAACACAAGAGGACACAGUGGUAGCACUCUCGGUGACUGGCAUCCUGAAGGUCUGGAUUGUUACCUCGGAAAUAAGUGACAUGCAGGAUACUGAGCCAAUAUUUGAGGAGGAAUCCAAACCAAUUUAUUGUCAGAAUUGCCAAAGCAUCUCUUUUUGUGCAUUUACACAAAGGUCACUUUUGGUUGUGUGUUCCAAAUAUUGGAGGGUGUUCGAUGCCGGAGACUAUUCCUUGUUGUGUUCAGGUCCUAGUGAAAAUGGACAGACAUGGACCGGGGGGGACUUUGUCUCAUCAGAUAAAGUCAUCAUUUGGACAGAAAAUGGGCAAAGUUAUAUUUACAAACUACCUGCCAGUUGCCUUCCAGCUAGUGAUUCAUUCCGCAGUGAUGUGGGGAAGGCAGUUGAAAAUUUAAUUCCUCCUGUACAACAUAUCCUCUUGGAUCGAAAAGAUAAAGAGUUGCUAAUUUGUCCUCCUGUUACUCGGUUCUUCUAUGGAUGCAGAGAAUAUUUCCAUAAACUGUUAAUUCAGGGUGAUUCUUCUGGAAGGUUGAAUAUUUGGAACAUAUCAGACACAGCUGAUAAACAGGGAAGUGAAGAAGGGCUGGCAAUGACAACUUCUAUUAGUUUGCAAGAGGCAUUUGAUAAACUGAAUCCUUGUCCUGCUGGAAUUAUAGAUCAGCUGAGUGUGAUUCCCAAUAGUAAUGAACCUCUUAAAGUAACUGCAAGUGUGUACAUACCAGCACAUGGACGACUUGUUUGUGGUCGUGAAGAUGGAAGCAUAGUUAUUGUACCUGCCACACAGACGGCCAUAGUACAGCUGUUGCAAGGGGAACACAUGCUCAGAAGAGGUUGGCCACCUCACAGAACACUCCGUGGUCAUCGGAACAAAGUCACAUGUUUGCUAUAUCCUCAUCAGGUCUCAGCUCGGUAUGAUCAAAGAUACCUGAUAUCUGGAGGUGUGGAUUUUUCAGUCAUAAUUUGGGACAUAUUUUCUGGAGAAAUGAAACAUAUCUUCUGUGUUCAUGGUGGUGAGAUUACUCAACUUCUAGUUCCACCUGAAAACUGUAGUGCAAGAGUACAGCACUGCAUCUGCUCUGUAGCCAGUGACCACUCAGUAGGACUUCUAAGUUUGCGAGAGAAAAAAUGCAUAAUGUUGGCAUCUCGUCACCUUUUUCCUAUUCAAGUAAUCAAAUGGAGGCCUUCUGAUGAUUACCUGGUGGUGGGGUGUUCAGAUGGUUCUGUGUACGUCUGGCAAAUGGAUACUGGUGCAUUGGAUCGUUGUGUGAUGGGGAUAACAGCAGUUGAGAUUCUAAACGCUUGUGAUGAAGCUGUUCCUGCUGCUGUUGAUUCACUUAGUCAUCCAGCAGUCAACCUAAAACAAGCUAUGACGAGACGUAGUCUUGCUGCUCUUAAAAAUAUGGCCCAUCAUAAGCUACAAACCCUUGCAACUAACCUCUUGGCUUCUGAGGCAUCUGACAAGGGAAAUUUACCUAAAUAUUCUCAUAACUCCCUGAUGGUUCAAGCAAUAAAGACAAACCUAACAGACCCGGACAUACAUGUGCUAUUCUUUGAUGUGGAAGCGUUGAUUAUUCAACUCCUGACUGAAGAAGCCUCUAGGCCGAAUACUGCUCUUAUUUCCCCAGAGAAUUUGCAAAAAGCAUCUGGCAGUUCAGACAAAGGGGGCUCUUUUUUAACUGGAAAACGAGCAGCAGUUCUCUUCCAACAAGUGAAAGAAACGAUCAAAGAGAACAUCAAGGAACACCUCCUUGAUGAUGAAGAGGAGGAUGAGGAGAUAAUGAGGCAGAGAAGGGAAGAAAGUGAUCCUGAAUAUCGGUCCAGCAAAUCAAAGCCAUUGACCCUAUUAGAAUAUAAUUUAACUAUGGACACUGCAAAGCUGUUUAUGUCCUGCCUUCACGCCUGGGGUUUGAAUGAAGUACUGGAUGAAGUUUGCCUGGAUCGCCUUGGAAUGCUGAAACCCCACUGCACCGUAUCGUUUGGCCUCUUGUCAAGAGGAGGCCAUAUGUCACUGAUGCUGCCGGGUUAUAAUCAGCCUGCUUGUAAACUGUCACAUGGGAAAACAGAAGUAGGAAGGAAGCUGCCAGCGUCUGAGGGAGUAGGAAAGGGAACUUACGGAGUGUCCCGUGCCGUCACCACACAGCAUCUCCUGUCUAUCAUUUCUUUGGCAAAUACUUUAAUGAGUAUGACCAAUGCAACUUUUAUUGGUGAUCAUAUGAAGAAGGGUCCUACCAGGCCACCUAGACCAAGCACCCCAGACCUUUCUAAGGCAAGGGGUUCCCCUCCAACUUCCAGUAAUAUUGUGCAAGGACAGAUUAAACAAGUUGCUGCACCUGUCGUUUCCGCUCGGUCUGAUGCUGAUCACUCUGGCUCUGACCCUCCUUCUGCUCCUGCUUUACAUACCUGUUUCUUAGUAAAUGAAGGUUGGAGUCAGUUAGCUGCUAUGCACUGUGUUAUGCUGCCAGACCUACUGGGAUUGGAUAAAUUUAGGCCUCCCCUUCUGGAGAUGCUGGCCCGAAGAUGGCAAGAUCGAUGCUUGGAGGUGAGAGAAGCCGCGCAGGCCCUGCUUCUGGCGGAACUGAGAAGAAUUGAGCAGGCAGGCAGGAAGGAAGCCAUUGAUGCCUGGGCUCCUUACUUACCUCAGUACAUAGACCACGUCAUAUCACCUGGAGUCACAUCAGAAGCCGCGCAGACUAUCACCACGGCUCCUGAUGCCUCAGGGCCUGAAGCAAAAGUCCAGGAGGAAGAGCAUGACCUUGUUGACGAUGACAUCACCACUGGUUGCUUAUCAAGUGUCCCACAAAUGAAAAAAAUUUCUACAUCUUACGAGGAAAGACGGAAGCAAGCUACCGCUAUUGUUUUACUUGGAGUAAUAGGAGCUGAAUUUGGUGCUGAAAUUGAACCUCCUAAACUAUUGACCAGACCUCGAAGCUCUAGCCAAAUUCCUGAGGGAUUCGGGUUGACUAGUGGUGGAUCCAACUACUCGCUGGCCAGACAUACUUGCAAGGCACUGACGUUUCUUCUGCUACAGCCUCCAAGCCCCAAACUUCCUCCACACAGCACUAUCCGAAGAACAGCCAUUGAUCUGAUUGGACGUGGGUUCACUGUUUGGGAGCCUUACAUGGAUGUGUCCGCUGUUCUGAUGGGGCUUCUCGAACUUUGUGCCGAUGCCGAGAAACAACUUGCCAACAUCACAAUGGGGUUGCCUCUGAGCCCAGCAGCUGACUCGGCCCGCUCUGCGAGGCAUGCCCUCUCGCUCAUUGCCACCGCCAGACCACCCGCCUUCAUCACCACCAUAGCCAAAGAGGUACACAGACAUACGGCUCUUGCAGCAAAUACCCAAUCACAGCAGAAUAUGCACACAACAACUCUUGCACGAGCUAAAGGGGAAAUUUUGAGAGUCAUUGAAAUUCUUAUUGAAAAGAUGCCCACAGAUGUUGUGGAUCUUCUCGUGGAGGUUAUGGACAUCAUUAUGUACUGCCUUGAAGGAUCUUUAGUUAAAAAGAAAGGUCUUCAAGAAUGUUUCCCAGCCAUCUGCAGGUUCUACAUGGUCAGCUAUUAUGAGCGGAAUCACAGAAUAGCAGUUGGAGCUCGCCAUGGUUCAGUGGCCCUGUACGACAUCCGGACUGGAAAAUGUCAGACAAUCCAUGGACACAAGGGACCAAUCACUGCAGUGGCUUUUGCUCCUGAUGGAAGAUAUCUUGCCACCUACUCAAACACUGACAGCCACAUUUCUUUUUGGCAGAUGAACACGUCACUGCUGGGAAGCAUCGGCAUGCUGAACUCGGCACCUCAGCUGCGCUGCAUUAAAACCUACCAGGUGCCCCCUGUGCAGCCCGCGUCCCCCGGCUCCCACAAUGCCCUCAAGCUGGCCCGGCUCAUCUGGACUUCCAACCGCAACGUCAUCCUCAUGGCCCAUGACGGGAAGGAGCACCGCUUCAUGGUCUAAUGCUGCUGCCUGCCGCCGUGACUGCGUUUUAGUUCUCUAAAUUAUCCAAGCCGAUGUUGCUCUGUCCUUCCUCACACCAGAUUGUUCCCAGGGGCCUGCCCACCCCAGUGCCAUCCAGUGGCACGGCCGGGUCUUGUCACUUGUGCAUGCUUCUCAGGGGCAGAACCCGCUCGUGCCAUCUGUCGAUUCAGAGGCACGCACACAUGCUCUGCAGGAUGUGGCCAUCCUGUCACCAGGUAGUUUUUCCCUGCCAGAGAUGGCAGGGGAAAGCCAGUGGUUCCUGGGAACGCUCUUGUUGCUUGGUGCAACAGAAGCACAAAAAUCAAUAAACACUGUGAUUGCACUCCCAGCCCAGAUCAGCAUUUUUAGCCAUCUCAACCGCACCUCUGAAGUGCUGCUUGAAUCUGGCCGUUCUGACACUGGGUGUUGAGGUCAUGUGGCAGUCCUCACGAUUGAAAUUAUUGCCCUUUGAAUUACCUAAAAUAUUGUUUACCAAAAAGAUUCUGUGUUUACAUGUUCUUUUCUUCUGGUGAUUGCUAGGAAAUUACUCAAUCCAAUUUCCUAGGGUUUAGCUACCACCUUCUUUAUCAACAGCUAACCAAUUUGAGAUUCAUGAUUAAUUAUGUACACAAAAAUAUUUUCCUUGUAGAAAAUAGUUUUCCAGACACUUAGCCUUCUGAAGUGCUCAUCUCUUGCUUAAAUGAUAGUCUAUUUAGUAGUUUAAAAUAAAAAUAAUCACUCCCUAUGAUCUAGUUAAUGUAAUUAUCCAGUCACUGUAACUAAUCUCUUGAAGGGACUUUUGUGAUAAAGAGCCAAGUUCAGAAGCAUAGCGUGUACCGAAAAUGAAGACUCUCCUAUCUACUGCUACAGAUCCUGUUGAAGAAAGAGCUUACCCCUUUCCCCCGGAAAACUUGCAAUCCUGUAGUUCCCAUAUGUGUGGCAUAUGUCAGUUAUGAAAUUAUUAUAAUUCAGCCUUCAAACUACUACUGAUCAACUAAAGGAAAGCUAAUAAGUGUUCACUCAUCUUAAACAUCCUCAGUUGAAAUCCGUAUGCUCCGCUAGCCCUGCUGCUUCUAAUCAUUCAUUUCCCUGGAGAGCUGGCUUGGGAAAGGCAACUUAUUCCCAGAGGACAGUAGAGCAGAAGUGCAGAGGCCUGGGCAUUUCCUUACAGAUGCUGAUCCCGAGAACACUGCUCCAUAAACUUCCUAUGUGCAGACCUCUCUCACACAUAGUCUGCAUCCCAAAGAACCCACCAGGAGUGUCCCAAGAAAACAGAUUCAAAAAUGGAGUUUGGGAGCUGAGCCACCCAUUGAACCAUGAAAAGAAGGACCCAUCACUGGUCGUGGGCCCUCAUGGACAGCCUCUGGCACGCUUGGCUGCACAAUUGUUAAAACUUUCCUUGGUGAUGCUUGUAUGGCGUGCUGAUGGAGGGCGAUGUGCUGGAGGGUACCACGUGGCAGGAAUUGAAAAGUAAGGGAAAGGAAAAAUUAUAAAGACGAUGGACUUGGAUGACUGUUGUGGAGUGCUCUGGAAAAAAGACAAUGAAAAGCUGAAGGGUGAUUAAUCACCCAGUAGAGGCUAAAUGUGAAAGCCUCUGGCUUUCUCUCAGAGAGAGAAAGUCUCUCUGAGACUCCUUAACAUCUAAGGAGAGCUUCAUCUCCUACAGCCAAACAUGAGCAGGCUCAGCCCAUGGAGAAGCACAGCUCCAGAGGCUGAACUCACCUCUAAAAAUCUUCUGCCCCAGGGUCAGAGCCCUGACAGAGGUGAACGGGGUUCUCUGGGUUGAUGCACUUGAACAAUCUUGAACCCCCGAUUCCAGUGAACCCUCCUCGGGCCUGCCUACAUGGCCAGCUCCUCCCUGUUCAAAGCCGGCGUUCCUCUUUCUUUGCUUGAAGAUAAUGCAGAGGCUUCUCCCAUGCAAAACUACACAUGCCCCCCACUGGAGUGACUUGGGUUAAGUCAUGGUACAACCUGGCUGCCAAAGUGCUGGACCUGCUAGGACAGGGAAAGAACCAUCUCCCAUAGGAGCUGUAGGUCCUCACCAACAUGUACCCAACAUAGCCACUGAAAUGGGACUGGAUUUAGCAGGUGCUGGGUCAAGGGGAAACGGACUAUAAAGUGGGUCAAGGGAGAGUUUAUCGAUAGGAGAUUGAACAACCCGCAAGGACCCAGGGAAAAAGUGCUGCCCUGAUGUUAUAAGCUGCUUGGCUUGGAGAAAAUGGUGGCUGACACUAAGAAGAAAUGUCAGAACUGAUGUGACAGAGGGUGGAGGCAAGAACAGGAAAGCUCAGAGUGAGGAGACUGCUGGAGCAGGUAUGCUAGGUACCCCCAAAUCCACUGGAUGCCUCUGCUCUGCGAGAGAGGCUGGGGACAUUCAUUCCAGCAAUGAAUUGAAGGAAGGUGCUAGAAGGGCACCCACAUCCCUGCAGGCCAGGACUGAGGGUAGAAGAUGUCAUGACAGAACUGGGCCCCAGGUAUCAAGGAGGAUGACAAGGUCCUGAAAUAAUACAGACCUGGUGGGUGCAAUCAUCAUAAUUAGUAGCAAGUUUGGAGUGGCGGCCAGAGAGACCAGACCUGCAGAGAUCUUUGGAUCUAAUAAAACAUGUCAUCCCUAAGUGCAAGAUGGGAGGGCAGCCAACAAGGGUAUUGUUCAUCUAUACAGGCAAAAGAAAUCGAAAAUGGAUCACAGGAGGCUGAAAGCAGCCAUUCCAGUAAGAAGUCAAAAUCCCUUGCCUGGUUUGUAAACCCAAAUGGCAUGGUUAGCAGGAGCUCAGACCCCUUGUGGAUGAGACUCUGGGUUUGCCCAGUAGUAAGCAAUGGAAAGUAGCAGAGAUUCUUGCCAAGGGGGAGGAGAGUUUAGAAUGAGUAGUAGAGAAGGGAAGCAAUAGAUAUCAGUGGUGGCUUUGGGAGCAGCUGCGACAGCAGGGGUUGUAGUUUGUUCCACUAAUAUUUCUGUUAUGUUUCCCCCAGAAUCCUGGAAUGGCUGUUCCCAGGCUUUUUUCAAAGCAAGUGGAUCUGAGCGGGGCAAAGGGUGAAGGCAGGGGACACUGUGGUAUGCAUUCACUCCCCCAGGUACUGGGUUGUCGGCAGCUGAUAUUUCCCAACUGAGACCUGCUACAGGAAUUGCUUGAGGCUAAAGAGAGCCACUCUCCUCAAGGCCACAUCCUCCUCCCUAAUGAGAGCUACACCCAAUAACCCAUCAUGGGGAUAAAAGGACUCAACCCUCUUUGCUUCAGUUUGGAACAUCUCUGAAGGGCCAUUCCAGCUUCAUAGCUCCCAGCGCAUUUGUCAGAGAACUCUGUUGCAACCACAUCACAGUCCAGCUCCCCCCUGCCUAUGUAUUGCUUCCUUCACACAGAUGUUGAUCCCAGGAACACUUCCUAAUACACCCGCUUUCAGCAAA